GACGAACGCUGGCGGCGUGCCUAACACAUGCAAGUCGAACGAAGCAUUUGGAGCUGAUCUCUUCGGAGUGACGCGCGUUAUGACUUAGUGGCGGACGGGUGAGUAACACGUGAGCAACCUGCCUCUCAGAGUGGAAUAACAGUUGGAAACGGCUGCUAAUACCGCAUAACGUCAUAGUACCGCAUGAUACCUCGACCAAAGAUUUAUCGCUGAGAGAUGGGCUCGCGUCCGAUUAGGUAGAUGGUGGGGUAACGGCCUACCAUGCCGACGAUCGGUAGCCGGACUGAGAGGUUGAUCGGCCACAUUGGGACUGAGACACGGCCCAGACUCCUACGGGAGGCAGCAGUGGGGGAUAUUGCACAAUGGGCGCAAGCCUGAUGCAGCAACGCCGCGUGCGGGAAGACGGCCUUCGGGUUGUAAACCGCUGUCCUUGGGGAAGAAACAAAUGACGGUACCCAAGAAGGAAGCCACGGCUAACUACGUGCCAGCAGCCGCGGUAAAAC
rnacentral:rRNA from 1 species